AUUCUCAGAAACGAAAUACUUUUCGCCAUUCUAUUAUCUAAUCGGUUACUUAAACAACGUAAGUAACUUCCUUUACAUAGCUACCUAGCUACCUUACCUACAUAGUUUUCCUAAAACAUGCACAUAUCAUAUCUGAAAAAGAGAUUAGUUUAUCAAUUUUGCACCAUUAAUAUUGAUUGGUGUCUCGAGUUCGACUGAAAACCGAAUUUAUUGCUCAAAAAAAAGAAUACCUAACGUUCAAGUACUUAGAACGAUUGCCACAGAAAAAGUCGAUUCGUCGAGACAUAAACGUGUAUUUUUUUCAAGUUUUCGAAAAAAAAGAACAAAAGGUGCCAAAAUGUCACGACAGACGCAAAUUUUAUUUCUCAUUGGUGUAAUCUUAUGUGCGACCUUUGUAGCCGAAGUUUCCGCGAAAAAAAAACCUUUCAAGUAUAAACCUGGUCCUAUUGCUAAACAAAUAGGUGUUUACUUGUAUUACUACAACGGAUUCUUAGGACAACAAUUUGAGGGAAAGAUUCCAGCCAUCGCGAAUUAUUUCUUUGCAAGGCAAGCCUUUUGGUUGAAAUUCGUGAACUCGUAAUCAAUCAGAAAAAUCACCAGAAAUGAACCAAAUAGGAAAACUUAUACUUAAUUAAGCCCACUUACGUACAAUUUUUUUUUUCAUUUGAAAAUUAAUAUUUGUUUAGUUUCUAUAAUAAGUACAUUUAUUUAAAGUUAACUAAAAUUAAAUUAAUUCUGUCAAAUUGAGAUUUAAAAAUAAAUUAUUCAAUAGCAGCUUUCAA